AGCGAACGCUGGCGGCAGGCUUAACACAUGCAAGUCGAGCGGGCGUAGCAAUACGUCAGCGGCAGACGGGUGAGUAACGCGUGGGAACGUACCUUUUGGUUCGGAACAACACAGGGAAACUUGUGCUAAUACCGGAUAAGCCCUUACGGGGAAAGAUUUAUCGCCGAAAGAUCGGCCCGCGUCUGAUUAGCUAGUUGGUGAGGUAACGGCUCACCAAGGCGACGAUCAGUAGCUGGUCUGAGAGGAUGAUCAGCCACAUUGGGACUGAGACACGGCCCAGACUCCUACGGGAGGCAGCAGUGGGGAAUAUUGGACAAUGGGCGCAAGCCUGAUCCAGCCAUGCCGCGUGAGUGAUGAAGGCCUUAGGGUUGUAAAGCUCUUUUGGCGGGGACGAUAAUGACGGU
rnacentral:rRNA from 1 species